AGUGAACGCUGGCGGUAGGCCUAACACAUGCAAGUCGAACGGCAGCACAGUAAGAGCUUGCUCUUACGGGUGGCGAGUGGCGGACGGGUGAGGAAUACAUCGGAAUCUACUUUUUCGUGGGGGAUAACGUAGGGAAACUUACGCUAAUACCGCAUACGACCUACGGGUGAAAGCAGGGCUCUUCGGACCUUGCGCGAUUGAAUGAGCCGAUGUCGGAUUAGCUAGUUGGCGGGGUAAAGGCCCACCAAGGCGACGAUCCGUAGCUGGUCUGAGAGGAUGAUCAGCCACACUGGAACUGAGACACGGUCCAGACUCCUACGGGAGGCAGCAGUGGGGAAUAUUGGACAAUGGGCGCAAGCCUGAUCCAGCCAUACCGCGUGGGUGAAGAAGGCCUUCGGGUUGUAAAGCCCUUUUGUUGGGAAAGAAAAGCAGCAGGUUAAUACCCCGCUGUUCUGACGGUACCCAAAGAAUAAGCACCGGCUAACUUCGUG
rnacentral:rRNA from 1 species